rnacentral:rRNA from 1 species
UACGUAGGGGGCGAGCGUUAUCCGGAAUUACUGGGCGUAAAGCGCACGCAGGCGGUUCGCCAAGUUUGGAGUGACAGUUGUCGGCUCAACCGACAAAGGACUUCAAAAACUGGUGAACUUGAGGACGAGAGAGGAACAUGGAACUCCAGGUGUAGUAGUGAAAUGCGUAGAUAUCUGGAAGAACACCAAUGGCGAAGGCAAUGUUCUGGCUCGUUUCUGACGCUCAGGUGGCGAAAAGCCAGGGGGAGCGAACGGG